UACGAAGGGGGCUAGCGUUGUUCGGAUUUACUGGGCGUAAAGCGCGUGUAGGCGGGUCGUUAAGUUGGGGGUGAAAUCCCGAGGCUCAACCUCGGAACUGCCUUCAAAACUGGCGACCUGGAGCAAAGAAGAGGCGAGUGGAAUUGCGAGUGUAGAGGUGAAAUUCGUAGAUAUUCGCAAGAACACCAGUGGCGAAAGGCGGCUCACUGGCCCGAUACUGACGCUGAGGCACGAAAGCGUGGGGAGCAAACAGG
rnacentral:rRNA from 1 species